CUACGGGACGCAGCAGUAGGGAAUAUUGGUUAAUGGGCGAAAGCCUGAACCAGCAACGCCGCGUGCGCGAUGAAGGCCUUCGGGCUGUAAAGCGCUUUUUGAGGGGAUGCGAAAGGACAGUACCCUCAGAAUAAGUCUCGGCUAACUACGUGCCAGCAGCCGCGGUAAAACGUAGGAGGCGAGCGUUAUCCGGAUUUACUGGGCGUAAAGCGCGUGCAGGCGGUUCGGUAAGUUGGAUGUGAAAGCUCCUGGCUAAACUGGGGGAGGUCGUUCAAUACUGCCGGGCUAGAGGAUGGGAGAGGGAGGUGGAAUUCCGGGUGUAGUGGUGAAAUGCGUAGAUAUCCGGAGGAACACCAGUGGCGAAGGCGGCCUCCUGGCCCAUAUCUGACGCUCAGACGCGAAAGCUAGGGUAGCAAACGGGAUUAGAUACCCGUGUAGUC
rnacentral:rRNA from 1 species